rnacentral:tRNA from 1 species
AAUUUUAUAGUUAAAAUAAUAACAUUAAAUUGCAAAUUUAAAAUUAUAAUACAAUUAUUAAAAUUU